rnacentral:rRNA from 1 species
UACGUAGGGUGCAAGCGUUAAUCGGAAUUACUGGGCGUAAAGCGUGCGCAGGCGGCUAUGCAAGACAGAUGUGAAAUCCCUGGGCUCAACCUGGGAACUGCAUUUGUGACUGCAUGGCUAGAGUACGGUAGAGGGGGAUGGAAUUCCGCGUGUAGCAGUGAAAUGCGUAGAUAUGCGGAGGAACACCGAUGGCGAAGGCAAUCCCCUGGACCUGUACUGACGCUCAUGCACGAAAGCGUGGGGAGCAAACAGG